UACGAAGGGGGCUAGCGUUGUUCGGAAUUACUGGGCGUAAAGCGCACGUAGGCGGAUAUUUAAGUCAGGGGUGAAAUCCCAGAGCUCAACUCUGGAACUGCCUUUGAUACUGUCGAUCUGGAGUAUGGAAGAGGUGAGUGGAAUUCCGAGUGUAGAGGUGAAAUUCGUAGAUAUUCGGAGGAACACCAGUGGCGAAGGCGGCUCACUGGUCCAUUACUGACGCUGAGGUGCGAAAGCGUGGGGAGCAAACAGG
rnacentral:rRNA from 1 species